GUGCUCGCUUCGGCAGCACAUACACAUAUACAGAGAAGAUUAGCACGGCCCCUGCGCAAGGAUGACACGCAAAUUAUGUGAAUGUAUCAAAUUAUCA
rnacentral:snRNA from 1 species